GGGUAGGGCAGGGCGGCGAGCCGAGCCGAGCCGAGCCCUUCCCUUCCCCACCCCGCCCGGGUCCCCGUGCGAUGCGGAGGGGCGGAGAUGGCCGCCGCCUGAGGUGGCCGCGGCGGCGCGGCGCGGAGCGGCGGGGGGGAGGCCGGGGAAGGUUCCCCGCAGCACACGCCGAGGAGGAGCGCGGAGGGGCGGCGAGCCGCAGCAGGUUUCCUCCGUUCUGCGCGCGCAAGUGCAGCAUCCAGCAGAUGAAGACAAAAGACACACGGAAGGCUGUUCGGAGUUGUACGGUAAAACGUGUUGCGUUUCAGAGGAUGACAUGUACUCGUGCGGAUGAAGAGUGAAGCGGCAAGCCCAGAGAUGAAGCACUGUGCCCAGCGAUACUGAUUUUGCUGGUUGUCACCAUUGGAGGAUGGCUGCCAUACUCUGUGAAAAUUGUUCUG
rnacentral:lncRNA from 1 species